rnacentral:rRNA from 1 species
CCUACGGGAGGCAGCAGUAGGGAAUCUUCCACAAUGGGCGAAAGCCUGAUGGAGCAACGCCGCGUGGGUGAAGAAGGUCUUCGGAUCGUAAAACCCUGUUGUUAGAGAAGAAAGUGCGUGAGCGUAACUGUUCACGUUUCGACGGUAUCUAACCAGCAAGCCACGGCUAACUACGUGCCAGCAGCCGCGGUCAUACGUAGGUGGCAAGCUUUAUCCGGAUUUAUUGGGCGUAAGGGGAACGCAGGCGGUCUUUUAAGUCUGAUGGGAAAGCCUUCGGCUUAACCGGAGUAGUGCAUUGGAAACUGGGAGACUUGAGUGCAGAAGAGGAGAGUGGAACUCCAGGUGUAGCGGUGAAAUGCGUAGAUAUAUGGAAGAACACCAGUGGCGAAAGCGGCUCUCUGGUCUGUAACUGACGCUGAGGUUCGAAAGCGUGGGUAGCAAACAGGAUUAGAUACCCCAGUAGUC